GCCCAGAUGGCGAAAUAGGUAGACGCAAGGGACUUAAAAUCCCUCGGAGAAUAAUAAACUCCAUGCUGGUUCAAAUCCAGUUCUGGGCA
rnacentral:tRNA from 1 species